rnacentral:lncRNA from 1 species
UUGUUGUUCUCUGCCCAUUUGUAUCAUGAUUGUUUCAUAUUUAGAAGAAUUACAGGUUUCGAUUGCUUUAGAAUGUAUUUUCUUUUAGGGAGCUACCAUUUGAUUUUUAUGGGGAGGCUAGGAUGAAAAAUUUUGUCCUGCAUUUUUUUUAGUUGUAAUCUCUGUCCUGCCUUUUUAUGUUUCACUCUAUUCGGUCCUGCCUUUUUUUUUUUUUAGUUUAUCCUGCCUUUUUUUACCUAAAUUGUCAUCCUGACUUUUUUUUUUGCAAGUGUCUCAUCCUGCCUUUUUAUUUAACUCAAAAUUCCUGUCCUGCCUAUUUUUUUCAAAUUUCAUCCUAGCCCCCCCCAUAAAAAUCAAAUGGUAGCUCCCUUAGGAAAUAAUGCAUCCAUUCAAUCCAUUCAGUCAAUA